rnacentral:rRNA from 1 species
CCUACGGGAGGCAGCAGUAGGGAAUCUUGCACAAUGGACGAAAGUCUGAUGGAGCAACGCCGCGUGAGUGAAGAAGGGUUUCGGCUCGUAAAGCUCUGUUGGCAGUGAAGAAAGAUAGAGGUAGUAACUUGCCUCUAUUUGACGGUAAUCACUUAGAAAGUCACGGCUAACUAUGUGCCAGAAGCCGCGGCAAUACGUAGGUGGGAAGCGUUGUGCGGAUUUAGUGUGCGUAAGGCGAGUGCAGGCGGUUCAAUAAGUCUGAUGUGAAAGCCUUCGGCUCAACCGGAGAAUUGCAUCGGAAACUGUUGAACUUGAGUGCAGAAGAGGAGAGUGGAACUCCAGGUGUAGCGGUGGAAUGCGUAGAUAUAUGGAAGAACACCAGUGGCGAAGGCGGCUCGCUGGACUGCAACUGACGCUGAGGCUCGAAAGCAUGGGUAGCGAACAGGAUUAGAUACCCCUGUAGUC